CGUCAGGCGCCGGGCAGUGGGCACCGACGCGGGCACUGGUCGUCUCUCCGGCAGCCCCUCCUUGGCCUGGGCCCUUCAGCAACCAGGACCGGCGGGUCACAGGUGCCUCACGCGGUUGGCCCGCGUGAGCAAAUGGAGAAACUGAGUCACGGGGCUGGCAAGUGGUUCUGCAGAAGCUGCGAGGCUGAGUCAGGCCGGGCGCCGGGAACUUGCGGGCCUCACGUGAGGGGUACGCCCAGGGCCAGUUGUGGAACCCUCUGAGCCCAGGCACAGAAGUUCCAGGACCUUCCGUAAGCGGCAGGCAACGCAGCCAAAUUGACGCUCCCAGACGACGGUGAGCAGCUACCGGCCUUCUCUCUUUGCUGUUGGCCUCCUGACCCACGGAGGGUCUGCAGGCUGUCUGGGUUGAGCCCCCUCAGCAGGGGCAAAAGGCUGCCCCUGGGGAUGUCUCUGGCUGGAAAGGGGGAACAGAGGCAGCAGCAGACCUGCCCCGCCCCCACUCACCCCCCCCCCCCCCAACUGCAGAACAGCCUCGGGGAAACUGCUAAUGAGGUCCAGGGUGAGCCCUCUGGCAGGCGAAAUGGGCAAUAUUGCUUCUCAUUAUAUUCUAAUUAGAUGUUUAAACUAAAAAUCACCUGCACACUUAAAGUAGUCAUUCCAAAAGUGUUUAAGAUACACACAAAAGUGUAAGUUGCACUUCAGUGUGUAGAGUAUGAAGCUAGUUCUGUAAAAGCAAAAUAAGUUACACAUUAAUAUUUGUAAAAGAAGUAAUCUGGAAGCAUAUACCUAAACUGUUAACAGAGCCUGUCACCAGAGAAGAACUUGCAAUAUUAAAUGUAAAUGUUUAUGAAAAA